GCUGAACCUGGUGAGAAGAGAAGGAUGGACACUGAGCAGGAGAUGGAACAGGGAUGCUGCUCAUUUGUGUGAUAUCAUGGGCUUCUGUGGGAUUGUGGAAGUCUCCAGGACAGAAACUGCAGCAAACCACAUUCUUGGACCAGAGGUCUACCCUGCAGUCAGGGCCCUUGUUGGCUAGGAAGGGAGGACACUCACUGAGCUACCUGGAAAAGAGGAGCUGGGCCCUGGCAUUGCCAGUGUCCAGUGCCAAACAUCUCCCAGAGUUGGAAGACGAGAAACAAAGGCGGCCUGCAAGAAAG
rnacentral:lncRNA from 1 species